AGAGGUUUGAUCAUGGCUCAGGAUGAACGCUGGCGGCGUGCUUAACACAUGCAAGUCGAACGGUGAACACGGAGCUUGCUCUGUGGGAUCAGUGGCGAACGGGUGAGUAACACGUGAGCAACCUGCCCCCUGACUCUGGGAUAAGCGCUGGAAACGGCGUCUAAUACUGGAUAUGUGACGUGACCGCAUGGUCUGCGUCUGGAAAGAUUUUUCGGUUGGGGAUGGGCUCGCGGCCUAUCAGCUUGUUGGUGAGGUAAUGGCUCACCAAGGCGUCGACGGGUAGCCGGCCUGAGAGGGUGACCGGCCACACUGGGACUGAGACACGGCCCAGACUCCUACGGGAGGCAGCAGUGGGGAAUAUUGCACAAUGGGCGCAAGCCUGAUGCAGCAACGCCGCGUGAGGGAUGACGGCCUUCGGGUUGUAAACCUCUUUUAGCAGGGAAGAAGCGAAAGUGACGGUACCUGCAGAAAAAGCGCCGGCUAACUACGUGCCAGCAGCCGCGGUAAUACGUAGGGCGCAAGCGUUAUCCGGAAUUAUUGGGCGUAAAGAGCUCGUAGGCGGUUUGUCGCGUCUGCUGUGAAAUCCGGAGGCUCAACCUCCGGCCUGCAGUGGGUACGGGCAGACUAGAGUGCGGUAGGGGAGAUUGGAAUUCCUGGUGUAGCGGUGGAAUGCGCAGAUAUCAGGAGGAACAGUCCGAUGGCGAAGGCAGAUCUCUGGGCCGUAACUGACGCUGAGGAGCGAAAGGGUGGGGAGCAAACAGGCUUAAAUACCCUGGUAGUCCACCCCGUAAACGUUGGGAACUAGUUGUGGGGUCCAUUCCACGGAUUCCGUGACGCAGCUAACGCAUUAAGUUCCCCGCCUGGGGAGUACGGCCGCAAGGCUAAAACUCAAAGGAAUUGACGGGGACCCGCACAAGCGGCGGAGCAUGCGGAUUAAUUCGAUGCAACGCGAAGAACCUUACCAAGGCUUGACAUAUACGAGAACGGGCCAGAAAUGGUCAACUCUUUGGACACUCGUAAACAGGUGGUGCAUGGUUGUCGUCAGCUCGUGUCGUGAGAUGUUGGGUUAAGUCCCGCAACGAGCGCAACCCUCGUUCUAUGUUGCCAGCACGUAAUGGUGGGAACUCAUGGGAUACUGCCGGGGUCAACUCGGAGGAAGGUGGGGAUGACGUCAAAUCAUCAUGCCCCUUAUGUCUUGGGCUUCACGCAUGCUACAAUGGCCGGUACAAAGGGCUGCAAUACCGCGAGGUGGAG
rnacentral:rRNA from 1 species